CAAAUGAAUUGACGGACCCGCACAAGCGGUGGAUCAUGUUGUUAAUUCGAUGAUACGCGAAGAACCUUACCAGGUCUUGACAUCCCCGCAAUGCUUUAGAGAUAAAGCGGAGGUAUCCGGGAGACAGGUGGUGCAUGGUUGUCGUCAGCUCGUGUCGUGAGAUGUUGGGUUAAGUCCCGCAACGAGCGCAACCCUUAUUGCUAGUUACCAUCAUUGAGUUGGGGACUCUAGCGAGACUGCCAGCGAUAAGCUGGAGGAAGGUGGGGAUGACGUCAAAUCAUCAUGCCCCUUAUGACCUGGGCUACAAACGUGAUACAAUGGCUGGAACAAAGGGAGGCGAAGGGGUGACCUGGAGCGAAACUCAAAAAAACAGUCUCAGUUCGGAUUGAAGUCUGCAACUCGACUUCAUGAAGUUGGAAUCGCUAGUAAUCGCGGAUCAGCAUGCCGCGGUGAAUACGUUCCCGGGCCUU
rnacentral:rRNA from 1 species